rnacentral:rRNA from 1 species
CCUACGGGUGGCUGCAGUGGGGAAUAUUGGACAAUGGGGGCAACCCUGAUCCAGCCAUGCCGCGUGUGUGAAGAAGGCCCUCGGGUUGUAAAGCACUUUCAGUGAGGAAGAACGCCUGGUGGUUAAUACCCAUCAGGAAAGACAUCACUCACAGAAGAAGCACCGGCUAACUCCGUGCCAGCAGCCGCGGUAAUACGGAGGGUGCGAGCGUUAAUCGGAAUUACUGGGCGUAAAGCGCGCGUAGGUGGCUUGAUAAGCCGGUUGUGAAAGCCCCGGGCUCAACCUGGGAACGGCAUCCGGAACUGUCAAGCUAGAGUGCAGGAGAGGAAGGUAGAAUUCCCGGUGUAGCGGUGAAAUGCGUAGAGAUCGGGAGGAAUACCAGUGACGAAGGCGGCCUUCUGGACUGACACUGACACUGAGGUGCGAAAGCGUGGGUAGCAAACAGGAUUAGAUACCCCGGUAGUC